rnacentral:ncRNA from 1 species
ACAGUGUCACAAUAGUAAUUCAAACUAGUACGAGAGGAACCGCUGAUUCGCACAAUUGGUCAUUGUGCUUGGGCGAAAAACCAAUGGCACGAAGCUACCGUGCGUUGGAUUAUGACUGAACGCCUCUAAGUCAGAAUCUGGGCUAGAAGCGACGCCUGUGCCCGUCGCCUGUUUGCCGACCAGCAGUAGGGGCCUCGGCCCCCAAAAGCAUGUGUCGUAGACUAAGCGUGCAUGACGGAUGAGUCGUGCAGGCCGCCUUGAAGUACAAUUCCCAUCAAGCGAUGGGUAGAAUCCUUUGCAGACGGGUGACGGGAUAGAAUCCCCUAUCAACUUUCGACGGUAGGAUAGUGGCCUACUAUGGUGGUGACGGGUGACGGAGAUUUAGGGUUC